rnacentral:ncRNA from 1 species
CUUCAGGGCCGGGUGCAAUUCCCGACCGGCGGUAUAGCCCGCGAGCCGCAAGGCAUGAUUUGGUGAGAUUCCAAAGCCGACAGUACAGUCUGGAUGGAAGAAGU